UCACGGUUAGGAAAGUGGUUACUCCGUUAGAUUGCUAAUCUAAUGCCCUCUGGGCGCGUGCGUUCGAAUCGCGCACCGUGUG
rfam:Sphaeroforma arctica JP610 cont1.5378, whole genome shotgun sequence.